rfam:Gammaproteobacteria bacterium RIFCSPHIGHO2_12_FTLL_37_34 rifcsphigho2_12_scaffold_4243, whole genome shotgun sequence.
GCCCGGGUGGCGGAACUGGUAGACGCAAGGGACUUAAAAUCCCUCGGGACCAAAUCCCGUGCCGGUUCGAUUCCGGCCUCGGGCA